UAUCUGUAAAUAAAAGAAUAAGUAAAUAAUUGUGUUCAUGAUUAUGCAUACAUAUGUACAUAUGUAAGCACGAGUAUAUGCAAAAGUUUUAAUUUUUCAAGUACACAAAUAAAUCUACAUAUCUAUAUGGGUGCAAAAUCUCACCCAAUUUCGAAAUUCGACAACAAAUUGAUAUGAACUGUUAUAAAGUUAGUAUUCAUUGUGCGGUUGAAUGCGAACUGGAAGAGCCGACAUUUAAGGCAGACGUUUAUAUACCAUUUUAUGCAAAAUGAUGAUGCAAUGAAGUUCAAGUUGGUGUAAAUUCGCAGAAAAGUGAUUACGCUUGGUAGCGUACACACGAACACUUACGAUUACCCUGAAGGAAAAAUUCGAAACAAUCAACUCUAAAUUUGUAAAUUGAAUAUAUUAUUACAAAAACGUAAAAAGCAGUCAGUUUUUAAAGAAGAAUUGUAAAAAGGCUAAGUAACUCGAGUUAAAAGAAAUGAGUUUAUACUAAACAAGUAAGGAGGGCUACGUUAGGGUGUAACUGAACAUUUCAUAUUUCCGCAAAUUACUUAUUUAAUUUUAUUAAUAAAUACAUAUUUUCGGCAUAAAGGCAAUGGGCCUAAUCAUUGAAUCUCCAGCGAAUUCAAUUUCGAUACGAUAUAGAUUUUCGAUCGAAAAUGUUCAUGCAAUCAUUGAUUCCAUCGAUAAACUGCUUUACCACAAAGUGACACCGUAAACUGGUUUAUCGACAAAUGCGACAAAUUUGAUAAAGUGUCUGUGCUUUUUGCUUUGUUCAACAAAAAUUAAAACUGACCUUUAACUAUAGUGAAAUUUUUUCCAAAAAAAUAUUUAUUUCGACUGAGGCUCUUUGAGAAAAUUCUUUCGCUAUUUCGAGUGGGCAACUUUAUAUCGCUUUUAAACAUCUUUCCGAAACUCAUUCACCAACGGAUAAAUUUCGACCAAAAUUUUCGAUUUUGCGGAUUCAAUGAUUUCGUAAUUAGCGACAUCUAUUAGCCGCGGAAUGUAUUUUUUCGAGUUGGUAAGUGAGUUCAAUGUGAUCGUAAAUUUUAUUUUCGAUACUGUUUCAAUGAUUCCGACGUAGAGUUUUUCGAUCGAAUCGAACCAUUUUUCGAUCGAAACGGAUUCAAUGAUUAGGACCAUGGUAGUUUUGUAACUUUUCGGUUAACGCAAAAAUGUGGGUUUGGCAAUAGUCGGAUUUCGCCCAAGGACGAACGGACAUACAGACAUGGGUUUCCCACAACAAUCGGUUCUACGUUACCGGAAUUGACCCGAAUUUUUUCCGGCCAAGGGCUGUUAUUUCGACGAUCGCGUCCUGUUUGGAUCGGUAUGUUUUUCCGAAUUUCAACUCUACUCAUUCCUCUAACCACUUUGAUGUAUAGAACCUUAUAUCUAACUCGUUUAGUUUUGGGUGACACAAGCAAUCGUAUUAUGAUGAGUAGAUUUGAAAUGCGGAAAAACAUUCCGAUACAAACAGGGUUAGAUUUUCGGAAUAGCAGCUUUUGGCCGGAAAAAAUUCGGGUCAAUAUUGUGUACACUUCUUCUUUGAAUUCCCCAAAUCUCUUGCUAAAUUCACUACUUCUUCAAUGUUUGUGCUUCUUUAUUUAAAAAAUUAUUACAUACAUUUCGUGAUUAGUUAAGUUACUCUUUGUAUGGAAAACAAACUAUCCAGAUUCUUGUGAGGACUUGUGUAAAAUUUCAUAACGGUGGAACGAAUCCGUAAACAUUUCUAUUUUCCUACAAUUAAAAUUUAUUAAUACAGAUUAUCGACCUAAACUACCUUUAUCGUACCUUUAUGUCAAACGAUUUAUUUUCAAAAC